GGAUUUAAUAAUAGCGCAGAAGCCGCAAUCGAAACAGAUUACAUUGUUUUGUUGAUUUUUUUUUCGGGCACGAUCUUAAACAUGUUAAAGUGGAUUUUAAGGAUUAUGUUGCCACCCAAUACGGUAGAUUAAGAAAGGAACCUCCCAGGGCCUUUGUUGGACUCACGUAAAACAUUGUUGUUUAUAAACUGAUAUUACGUCAUGGGAAACUGGAAAAGGCUUACACCCAUAAGAUAUAUAAAGCUUUCCUCUCAGAAGAUCGGUCAGUGAGCUAGACAUUUCUCCGGAGCUAACCAACUUUUGCUGGGCUUUUUUACACCUUUAUACAAGGGACAACGCCCACGCAAGAUUUGGACGCGAAUUCUGAGUUUCAUCCUUUGAGAGUCUGGAAAGUUUACAAGAAGUGGCAGGAUUGAAGAAAAUUUAAAGAGAUUCUAAAGGACAACUGCAGGUGGACCAAACAAAACGAGGAAUAUAGAAGAACAGUGAGGAACAUAAAAGACACGUGAGGUAUGACAUUACAAAUCACAGAAGUAUUUCAUUUUCUAUUCAUGGUUAGUUGACCUCAAGCAUUCACUUAGUUGUGGUAGCCCUAUUUGAAGGAGUGGUAUUGUUCAGUGAAUGUCAGACAUUCUUAAUUCGGCAUGAUAUGUCUCAGCACAAGUAUAAAUGUUUAAAUCGUCUCGGAAUUAAGUAGUUCGGUUAUUACGUCAGUGAAGGAAAGGUCAAACACAAUCCUUACACUGUAACAAAACACUUCAAGAGAAGCAAUAGAGAGAGAGCAUUUGAUUUCGAGUAUCCGACUGAGAAAGUUCUUUAAAAGGUUGCCUCAAAAGUGCGCUACAGUAAAGACGAUGAAUAUUUUCUUUGUUGUGUUUGCGUUCUUAGCUUGGACUGAAGCCGCACCAAGUCCUCCAAAAUGUGGCAAAAUUCGCGGUCGCAAUUGUAGUGAAGACAGCGAUUGCGCAUGUCUUAACCGUCACAACAAAAGUUCCUUGAUAUGUAAUACCCGAUUUCGAUGCGAGAAGCAAGAAUUUAGGGACACACUCCAGAGGAUGCAGCCAUGCCACCGUAUCUACAAGAAUUUUUGUGAAGUUGACACCGAUUGUCCAUGCGACGAAGCACGACUUAUCUGUGAGGAUCACGAAUGCGUGAAAGAGAAAAGAAGACCAAGGCCACAGAUAAACUUAGAUCGUCUCCUCUCUAUAUUGUUGCCAAGAAAAAGUAACGGCACGCAAAGCUCUCCGCGUCGUCAGAGAAGACGUUUACUGAGACACGGACUCUUCAAGACGAUUUAGCAGCUUUGUUAUUCCAUGCGAUGUUCGGCACAACCCUUUGUAUGGCGUAGGGUGAUCAUCCCCUCCCUGCUUUAGAGCGCAUUUCGAUUGAAAUGUGUCGUCAGACCGAAAACAGAGGAACCACUAAGGCCAGUCUCAGAAAAAAGGAAAAUACUGCGCCACAAGGAGCCCAUGUGAACUCAUGUGCCAGGAGUGUUGGAUAUCACGUGUCAUCACAUGACUAAUGGUGUUACGUAGCGUCUGAUUGGUGGAGAAAGUGAUACGAUAUUUCUUGACCAA
rnacentral:misc_RNA from 1 species